UACGUAGGGUGCAAGCGUUAAUCGGAAUUGCUGGGCGUAAAGCGUGCGCGGGCGGCUUUGCAAGACAGAUGUGAAAUCCCCGGGCUCAACCUGGGAACUGCAUUUGUGACUGCAAGGCUAGAGUACGGUAGAGGGGGAUGGAAUUCCGCGUGUAGCAGUGAAAUGCGUGGAUAUGCGGAGGAACACCGAUGGCGAAGGCAAUCCCCUGGGCCUGCACUGACGCUCAUGCACGAAAGCGUGGGGAGCAAACAGG
rnacentral:rRNA from 1 species